GGUUUUCAAAGGGAGUCGCCCCUGGUCCUUUUGCUACUUAGGUAUGGAAAGUUGGGGUUUUCCUUUCAAUUUGGUUCUAGGAAGUCAGCGUGAAUCAGCCUUAGGUUUCCUGCCUCCAGACCCUAGUCUCCUGCCUCAAAGUGGCCAGUCGGCUCUCGGGCCUUCCCAAGGCAGAAGGUGGAGCUGAAAAGCAGACUUCCCUGAAUGCUGAGGCUAAGUUGAAAAGUGGUGUAGGCUCUGUGCAGCCCACCUGAAGAACAGAGGAAGGGAGCACCAGAAAGCUGCUUGGGAGCUGGGUCUCAGGAUGCCGGGCAGAGGCGUUUGAGCUUUACCCCUUGGGUGGUAGAGCAUGGACCACUGCAGGCUCUCCAGGUCGUGAGUGGGCGUGGGUGGACCCGUGGGCCUAUUUGAUUUAGUUUCUCUCUCCCACACCAUGGGAGCCAUCUUCUCCCUCUUGCGACUCCCUGUCUUAUAAACCAGAGAAGAUGACUAGUGCUUAUGAAAAGCACUUUUGUGCUGACAGGUGCCCUAAGGCCACCAUCAUCAUCCGUGAGGAUUUCUCUUUUUGUCAGAGUGCUGCAGCAGCUGCAGCCUCAUUCAGGGUCUGGCCUGUGUCCCCAGAUUGCAGAGGAGAAAAGAGCCAACAUAGGCCAGGCACAGCGGCUCACGCCCGUAACCUCAGCACUUUGGGAGGCUGAGGCAGGCAGAUCCCUUGAGUCCAGGAGUUUGAGACCAGCCUGGGCAACAUAGUGAGACCCCGUCUCUAAAAAAAAAAAAAAAAAAAAGCCAGGAUAGGUGGCAUGUGCCUGUAGUCUCAGCUACUUGGGAGGCUGAGGUGGGAGGAUUGCUUGAGCCUGGGAGGUCGAGGCUACAGUGAGCCAUAAUUGCAUCACGGCACUCCAGCCUGGGAGACUGCUGAAACGCCCCAAAAACAAACAAAAGAACUACCACAGACCCAACAGUACAAAAUCCAAAAGACCUGAAAAAGCUGCAUGGUAUUCCGUUACGUGGCUGUCCCAUCGUUUUUUAACCAAUCUCUUAAUGAUGGACAAUUGAGUGGUUUCUGCUCUUUUUGUUAUCAACAAUGUUGCAGUAAAUAACUGUGGAUUUGUUAUUCCACACUAAAUCUUGUUGCUGCUCAGUCAUUGGGUCUGCACUGCCUUUAUGAGCUGUAACACUCACUGUGAGAGUCUGUAGUUUCACUCCCGAGGCCAGUGAGACCCUGAACCCACCAGAAGGAAGAAACUCCAAACACGUCCGAACAUCAGAAGGAAGGAACAAACUCCGGACAUGCCUCACUGCAAGGGUCACCGGCUUCAUUCUUGAAGUCAGUGAGACCAAGAACCCACCAAUUCUGGACACAAUAUAAUCCUCAUUCUUCCUCCUUGAAUAUGCAGUUUACUGUGGCACACACAUUCCCACUGCAAUGCUCUAUUCCUGAAUAAAUAUCUUUUUCUUUUAGAGAGCCUUUCUCUGUUAUUUAGGUUGACAGUUUUUAACUGUCUUUUAGUAUAUCUUUGAAAUUUUGGUUGAAAGCUGGACAUGAUGUAUAUGAUAGUAGGACCUGAAGUAAAUCGGCCUUAUUGUGUGAGGUUUUAUGUUAAUCUGACUAGUAGCUGGGCCGUGUUUAAUGUUUCCUAUAGCUGUAGGUGCCAGAAACUUUAGUUUCCUCUAGUUUCAGGUAUUUUUUUUUCUCUUCUGUUUUGACUUUCCCUGAGAACUCUUAUUAUUUUUUUUGAGAUGGAGUUUUGCUCUUGUUGCGCAGGCUGGAGGGCAGUGGCGCCAUCUUGGCUCACUGCAACUUCUGCCUCCCAGGGUCAAGCAGUUCUCCUGCUUUUCCUGAGUAGCUGGGAUUACAGGUCCC
rnacentral:lncRNA from 10 species